UGAAUAUGGAUAUCUGUGGAUGUACAGCUAUAGGCUUCUGCACCCUAAGCACUGCAGUUAGCCAAGAACAUCAUGCUUUACAGAUCUGAGCACCUUGGGCAGAAAUUCUCCUUUAUGUGCCAGAAGUCAUGAAACCAAAGGCAGAAAUCAGCAAGAGGAGACCAGGCACCUCAGGCUGUUUGCCGCGUUAAUCUUCAGAACCCAUUAAGUUGUCUUACCGUAGAAGCCUGAGAGGCAUUCUGCCAUUAAAAAAAUGUUCAGAAAGAGGAAAAAUAUGGGAAAAAGGAAAAAGUGAGGAAGAGAAGAUGGGAAUGAGAAAGGAAGGAAGAAAGGAAGGAAUCACAGAAUCACAGAAUGGCCUGGGUUGAAAGGGACCUCAAGGAUCAUGAAUCUCCAAACCCCCUGCCGGGCAGGGCCACCAACCUCCCUAUUUACUAGAUCAGGUUGCCCAGGGCCUCAUCCAACCCGGCCUUGAACACCUCCAGGGACGGGGCAUCCACAACCUCUCUGGGCAGCCCAUUCCAGCACCUCACCACUCUCCUGGUAAAGAACUUCCCCCUAACAUCCAACCUAAAUCUUCCCUCUUUCAACUUAAAACCGUUCCCCCUUGUCCUGCUGUUGAAGGAAAGGAGGAAGGAACAGAAGAACACAUAUGGACAAAAUUCAUGUCUCAUAUGCUGAAAACUAUUUGGCUCAUACUGUCAUUUUCAAACAAGAACUCUUAAAUUUUAUUGUACAUAACGAUGUCUUCCUGCAAAGCUCCAAAAGUAAUUGCUAGGCAUCACAGGUAUCAUUUACAAAGCAUGUGCAAUGAUCUGCAACAUCUACUUAGUCUGCAGCAUUCAAAAGUCAAACUCCUUGUUAAGUUGGAUGCUGAAUUGAAGGUCCCAUGAUUGCAAUUUAAUCUCUCUUCGUUGAUAGUCUACUUUGCUUCCCAUAAGUGAACUGGUCUCCAACUUCUACAUUGAAAGGCUAACAGAAACUUGUUCAAAUUUUGUUUGUUUCUCUGAAAGAUAAGUACUGUUUCUAGUAGGAUUUGUGCACCUGAGCACUGGAUACAAUCCAGGUUUGGAAAUCUAUGUUUAAUGGGGUCUUUUUAGAUUUAGAUUUUUUUCAUUUGGAAUCAGAACUAUAGAAGAUGUUCUGCAAAACAUUUCAAAAUCAUUGUUUGUACUCUGAAAAAUAUGCAAUUUUACUUCCUUUAUUUCAGUAUUCUUUGGUUAUAUUUACUCAGUUCAUGAAGUCAUAGCAUGGCAUAUCAUAAUUUCUGUUAAUUUAAAGAUAAAUGAGAUCUGUACUCACACUGAUUUUAUUUGCACAUCUUUUCUAGAUUAGAAUCUCCUGUUUAUCCUAUAGUGAAGUGGCUUACAAAAAAUCCAGUAUCAUUUAGAGAUGAAGGCAAAUAGUAUACAAAUUAGGACCAUAUUUUCAGUAUCAUUUUG
ensembl:lncRNA